GUUGGAUACUAGUAACACAGCACUACGUACAAAUAUGAAUGCAUCAUUGAAACUACCAUUUUUAUGCCUGACUUUCACAGUGUGUGCCUCUCUAGGAGGUAACUUCACGCUGCAUCGUACGAAGAGAGAUUUAACCACACAAUUUUGGGAUAAGCACGUGACGUUUGUAUAUGAAGGAACACCAAUAACAUUCAAUUUUCUUAAACAGGAGUUGGCAGAUUUUGCAAAUGAUAAAAAAAGAGUCUGGCAUACUUUCAUUAUCGUCUUUUACAACAAACCUGAGAACAAAGGAAAACAAAUGACGUCAUUUAAGACAAUGUUAAACACUGUCAUGUCGAAAAAGAUAAGAUCAAAUAUGUGUGUUGAAAGCACAAAGGAUAUCCCACACGUAUGCAAAAAAAACAUUAAGAAAAAUAAGGAAUUCAGUAAUUUCUCUGGGUAUCGUUUCUGUCGAGUCAAGUUGGAAGAUUUGGGACCCAAAACGUAUAUGGCUAAUUUCAAUCCUCAAAACAAAAAUGCUCGCUGUGAGUAUUCAGCGCAAGGUAUGUUUUACUUAGGGGUUCGACCAGUGAAAUACAAAAAACAAAGCGACAAAAACACAGACUGGUUUAUUGUGAACCAUUUGGAAAAAUCAGAAAUGUAUGGCGAGGUAUUGGAUUGCAAGAAAUAAAUCACGGAAAUGUUAAACGUAUGGAUAUACACCACCAACAAAAUACUGAAAGAUGGAUAUUGUAAUAUGUAGUUUCACUAUAUCAUUGUUAUUAACAUAUUACAUUUAUUUUUUUAUACUGUAAGAUGACAUAUUGGAGAUAGUUAUUUUUGUGAAAUAUUGCCUAUAAAAUUCAUUGUUUUCUUUCUGUUUUCUAUAUUGUAACUUUCGUCUUUCAUUUGAUAUGUAGCAUUUUCCUUUUUGUAUGAUAUCCUGUCAAGUCAAUAAAAUGUGCAUGGAAUGCAAAC